ACCAGAGUGGUGUAAAGGCUUGCGUGCUGGACUUAGGAUCCGAAAGACCUGGAUUCAAAUCCCCGCUCUGAGA
rnacentral:tRNA from 1 species